rnacentral:lncRNA from 10 species
CAGCUACUUGGGAAGCUGGGGCAGGAGAAUUGCUUGAACCCGGGAGGUGGAGGUUGCAGUGAGCCGAGAUUGUGCCACUACAUUCCAGCCUGGGUGACAGAGCAAGACUCCGUCUCAAAAAAAAUAUAUAUAGAUAGAUAGAUAGAUAGAUAGAUAGAUAGAUAGAUAGAUUCACACAAAGAGACAAUAUUGUAUAAUUCCACUAAUACGAGGUACCUAGAAUAUUCAAACUGACAGAGACAGACAGAAUGGUGGUUAGCAGGGCUGGGGGGAGGGGUAAUGGGAUUGAGUGUUUAAUGGGGACAGAGUUUCAGAUUGGGAAGAUGAGAAAGUUCUGGAGAUGGAUGGUGGUGACAGUUGCACAAUGUGAAUAUAUUUAAUGCCACUGAACUUCAAAAGGUUUAAGAUGGGUCGGGUGAGGCGGUGCAUGUCUGCAAUCCCAGCACUUUGGAAGGACGAGGCGGGAGAAUUGCUUGAAGCCAGGAGUUUGAGACCAGCCUGGGUUACAAAGCACUACCCCGACUCUACAAAAAAUAAAAAAAAUUAGCCAGACAUGGUUGUGUGCAUCUAUGGUCCCAGCUACUCGGGAGGCUGAGGUGGGAGGAUCACUUAGGCCCAGGAGUUUGAGGCUGCAGUGAGCUGUGAUCACACAACUGCACUCCAGCCUGGUUAACAGAGUGAGACCCUGUCUCUCCAAAGAAAAAAAAAGAAAAUUAUUAAGAUGGUAAAUUUCAUAUUAUGUAUUUUAUGUUGCAUAUCAUGUUAUGCAUCUGACAUAUGUUGCAUAUGCAUAAUGAUAUGUUGUUUAUCAUAUUUGCAUAUUUAUGUAAUGUAAUGCUUAUGUAUAUCAUGUAUAUGUAUAUAUUAACAAUUUUUAAACGUUGAUUCAGUAGUCUUCAUUAUUUUGGCCACCAAUUCCUAAUUGCUCCCAGGAAAGAACAGGAGGAAGAUGUGGAAGUAGAUCGUUUUUUUUUUUUUUUUUGAGACAGAGUCUCGCUCUGUCACCCAGGCUGGAAUGUAGUGGCACGAUCUCGGCUCACUGCAACCUCCAUCUCCCAGGUUCAAGAGAUUCUUCUGCCUCAGCCUCCCGAGUAGCUGGGAUUACAAGUGCCUGCCACCAUGCCCGGCUAAUUUUUUAAUUAUUUUUAGUAGAGACGGGGUUUCGUCGUGUUGGUCAGGCUGGCCUCCAACUCCUGACCUCAAGUAAUCCGCCCACCUCAGCCUCCCAAAGUGCUGUGAUUACAGGCGUGAGCCACCGCGCCCAGCCUGGCUGCCCUUGUGGGGACAAAACUCUUGACUGCAUGGGAGACCCUCCUUCCAUCAUGUAUGAUGGGCUAGUUGAGAGCACCGUGGACCCACUUCCAUGUUCUCUCAACAGAUGUCUUCCUAAAUAUCUCCUAACUUCUUCUUCUCUUCAUGGACCACCGUCACUACCCCAGCCCAAGCCACCAGCAUCUCUUUUGGGAAUGGAAACAACCGUGGUGGCCUCUUAACCCUUCUCCACUCGGGGUCACCUCCAACCUAGCCAGGUGGGUUUUGAAAAAACCCAAGCAUGGCUGGACUGGGUGGCUCAUGCCUGUAAUCCCCAACAUUUUAGGAGGCCGAGGCGGGAGCAUUGCUUGUGCCCAGAAGUUUGAGACCAGCCUGGGUCACAAAGCAAGAACCCAUCUCUACAAAAAAUGAAAAUAACUAAAUAAUUAUCCAGGCUUCUGGGCUUGAGUGGUCCUCCUGCCUCAGUCUCCUGAGUAGCUGGGACUACAGGCAUGUGCCACCACCCCAGGCUGAUUUUUAAAUUAAAUUUAAUUUAAUUUAAAAAAAAAUUUCUUUUUGAGAUGGAGUUUUGCUCUUGUUGCCCAGUCUGGAGUGCAAUGUCAAGAUCUAGGUUCACUGCGACCUCUACCUCCCAGAUUCAAGCGAUUCUCCUGCCUCAUCCUCCCAAGUAGCUGGGAUUACAGGUGUGCACCACCACACCCUGUGACUUUUUUGUAGUUUUAGUAGAGACAGGGUUUUACCAUGUUGGCCAAGCUGGUCUUGAACUCCUGACCUCAAGUGGUCCACCCGCCUCAGCCUCCCAAAAUGCUGGGAUUACAGGUAUGAGCCACUGCGCCUGGCCUUAAUUUUUUAAUUUAAUUUUUGUACAUUCAGGGUCUGGCUCUGUCAUGCAGGCUGGAGUGCAAUGAUGCGAUUGUGGUUCACCGCAGUCUUGACCUCCUGGGCUCAAGCCAUCCUCCCUUCUUGGCCUCCCAAUGUGGUGGUAUUACAGGUGUGAGCCACCGUGCCCAGCCCCAUCGUCCAUUUUUAUCUUCGGUCUUUCAUUGGCACAUUCCUUGUCACAGUGUAACUAUUCAAUGAACACAUUUGAGCAGUGAAUGAACUGGCUCUCUGAAUCUGAGUUUCUGCAUCCAGCCAUCUCUGUGUAGUGACGUGGGGGAUGGGGUGGGAUCCAGAGUUAUGGGAGUGUUUAUUUAUAAAUGAGAUACUUCUCUACGAGUGGAUUUCCUUUCCCACUCACAGACUGAGCAAUAAUUGGUUAAAUAAGUUUACACAUGGGGGUUUGGGACAAGCUCCUUCGUGAAACGAAGUGACUGCUAUUUACAAACGAAGACCGUAAAGUGUCUUAGGGCUGCGUGAAAAGGACAGCUUGUGUGUUUCCCAAUGGAAUGAAUGAAUAACAAGGAUGGGGGAUCCCCAGGAGCGCACAGCCCCCAUCUAUAAGAGCUGACCUCUCCUGGGUUUACAGCUUUGAUUACCCACGGGGCAGGGCAAAAUGCAUCCCUCGUGACCUAUGGUGGGUGUGGAAAUGGCACAAGUCCCCUAAUUACCGCUGGCCCCGUAAUCUGUGGGCUCCGGUGCACGGUGAAAAUGCAAGUCCUGCCGGGCGCGGUGGCUGGUGUCUGUAGUUCCAGCUACUUGGGAGGCCGAGGCAGGAGGAUUGCUUGAGCCCGGGAGCUCUGGGCUGCAGUUCGCUCUGCCGAUUGGGUGUCUCCACUAAGUUUGGCAUCAAUAUGGUGACCUCCUGGGUGCAGGGGACCAUCAGGUUGCCUAAGGAGGGUGAACCAGCCCAGGCUGGCAACGGAGCAAGUCAAAACUCCUGUGCUGAUCAGUAGUGGGAUUAUGCUUGUGAAUAGCCACUGCACUCCAGCCUGGGCAACAUAAUAAGACCCCAUCCCUAAAAAAAAAAAAAAAGAAAAAGAAAAAAGGAAAUGCAAGUCCUCUUGUUCAAAGAAUUUCACUAUGGGGGCCUCAGCGGAUUGAAUCAAGUGUGCAGGCUUUCUAAGUGCAGGACCCUGAAGACCACAGGUCUCACACCCGUGAAGCCUGCCCUGCUUCACAGUGUGUGCAACACUGCCCAGUUCACCAACAUGAUGUUGUGUCAUUUAACCAUGGCAACAACUCUGAAAUAUUAUUAUCCCCGUGAUGAACAAGGGAGAGAUAUCCCAGGUCAGGCAGGGUGCGGUGGCUCAAGCCUAUAAUCUCAGCACUUUGGGAGGUUUGCUUGAAGCCAGGAGUUUAAGACCAGCCUAGGCAACAGAGUGAGACCCCUAUCUCUUUUUUUUUUUUUUUUUUUUGAGACAAGGACUCACUCUGUCACCCAGGCUUGAGUGCAGUGGUUCAAUCAUGGCUCACUGCAGCCUCUGCCUCCUGGGCUCAAGUGAUCCUCCCACCUCAGCCUCCCGAGUAGCUGUGACUAUAGGCACACGCCGCCACACCCAGCUAAUUUAUUUUAUUUUUUGUAGAGACGGGGAGGGGGGUCUCACUAUGUUGCCCAGGCUGGUCUCGAACACCUGGGCUCAAGCCAUCCUCCCGCUUUGGCCUCCCAAACUGCUGGGAUUACAGGCGUGAGCCACUGCGCCCGGCUUUCUGGGCAUUUUAAUUUGUGGAUUACCAUGCCUGUUAUCCCAGCUACUGGGGAGGAGGCUGAGGCAGGAGAAUCGCUUGAACCUGGAAGGUGGAGGUUGCGGUGAGCUGAGAUCGUGCCAUUGCACUCCAGCCUGGGCAACAAGAGCGAAACUCGGUCUUUAAAAAAAAAAAAAAAAAGAUAUUCACCAAUUAGCGUGAUAUUUACAAGAAUUUCAUGUGGUAGUUGUGAUAGUUAAUUUUGUAUGUCAAUUUGAGUGGGCCAUGGGGUACCCAGAUUAAACAUUGGCUAAGACUGCAUACUUAUGUUAACAUGCGUUAAGCCUCUGUGCUGAUAUGUCAA